GCGGGUGUGGCGGAAUUGGUAGACGCGCUAGGUUUAGGUUCUAGUGACUUAUGUCGUGAGAGUUCGAGUCUCUCCAUCCGUA
rnacentral:tRNA from 1 species